rnacentral:rRNA from 1 species
GUGCCAGCCGCCGCGGUAAGACGAACCGCACAAACGUUAUUCGGAAUCACUGGGCUUAAAGGGUGCGUAGGCGGUCCGGAAAGUUGGGUGUGAAAUCCCUCGGCUCAACCGAGGAACUGCGCUCAAAACUACCGGACUUGAGGGAGACAGAGGUGAGCGGAACUUAGGGUGGAGCGGUGAAAUGCGUUGAUAUCCUGAGGAACACCAGUUGCGAAGGCGGCUCACUGGGUCUUUUCUGACGCUGAGGCACGAAAGCUAGGGGAGCGAACGGGAUUAGAUACCCCGGUAGUCCUAGCCGUAAACGAUGAGCACUUGGUCGGAGAAUCCUCCAUAGUUUUCCGGCCGUAGCGAAAGUGUUAAGUGCUCCGCCUGGGGAGUAUGGUCGCAAGGCUGAA